UUUUCUGCCACCGAAUACAUUAGCAUGGGAUAAUGGAAUAGGACCCUGUCCUCCUAUUUUCAGUUGGUUUUGGCAGCGCGAGGACUAGGGUAAUGAUUAAUAGGGAUAGUUGGGGGCAUUAAUAUUUAAUUGUCAGAGGUGAAAUUCUUGGAUUUAUGAAAGAUUAACUUCUGCGAAAGCAUCUGCCAAGGAUGUUUUCAUUAAUCAAGAACGAAAGUUAGGGGAUCGAAGACGAUCAGAUACCGUCGUAGUCUUAACCAUAAACGAUGCCGACCAGCGAUUAGGAGACGUUGAAUACAAAACACCACCAUCGGCGCGGUCGUCCUUGGCGUCGGUCUUUCGGGGCCGGCGCGGGGGCGGCUUAGCCCGGUGGCACCGGUGAAUGACUCCCUA
rnacentral:rRNA from 1 species